GGAAUAUUGGACAAUGGAGGGAACUCUGAUCCAGCCAUCCCGCGUGCAGGAUGACGGCCCUACGGGUUGUAAACUGCUUUUACGAGGGAAGAACCGUCCCGCUUGAUCGGGAUUUGACGGUACCGCGGGCAUAAGCACUCGCUAACCCCGUGCCAGCAGCCGCGGUAAUACGGAGGGUGCAAGCGUUAUCCGGACUCACUGGGUUUAAAGGGUGCGUAGGCGGCAAUGUAAGUCAGGGGUGAAAGGCCACAGCUCAACUGUGGAAUUGCCUUUGAUACUGCGUUGCUUGAAUCAGGAUGAGGUCGGCGGAAUGUGACAUGUAGCGGUGAAAUGCAUAGAUAUGUCAUAGAACACCAAUUGCGAAGGCAGCUGGCUAAACCUAGAUUGACGCUGAGGCACGAAAGCGUGGGGAGCGAAC
rnacentral:rRNA from 1 species